UAGUCCACGCCGUAAACGAUGGAUACUAGUUGUUGGGGGCCAUGAGUCUUCGGUGACGUAGCUAACGCGUUAAGUAUCCCGCCUGGGGAGUACGGUCGCAAGAUUAAAACUCAAAGGAAUUGACGGGGACCCGCACAAGCGGUGGAGCAUGUGGUUUAAUUCGAGGCAACGCGAAGAACCUUACCAGUCCUUGACAUACCUAUCGCGGGGGACUUAACAGUCCCCCUUCAGCUCGGCUGGAUAGUGUACAGGUGCUGCAUGGCUGUCGUCAGCUCGUGUCGUGAGAUGUUGGGUUAAGUCCCGCAACGAGCGCAACCCUCGCUUUUAGUUGCCAGCAAGUUAUGUUGGGCACUCUAAAAGAACUGCCAGUGUUAAACUGGAGGAAGGUGGGGAUGACGUCAAGUCUUCAUGGCCCUUAUGGGCUGGGCUACACACGUGCUACAAUGAUAAAACAGUAAGUUGCAACCUCGCAAGGGGAAGCUAAUCUUCAAAUUUUGUCCCAGUUCGGAUUGUUCU
rnacentral:rRNA from 1 species